CCUACGGGGUGCAGCAGUGGGGAAUAUUGCACAAUGGGGGAAACCCUGAUGCAGCGACGCCGCGUGAGCGAUGACGUAUUUCGGUAUGUAAAGCUCUAUCAGCAGGGAAGAAAAUGACGGUACCUGACUAAGAAGCCCCGGCUAACUACGUGCCAGCAGCCGCGGUAAUACGUAGGGUGCAAGCGUUAUCCGGCUUUACUGGGUGUAAAGGGAGCGUAGACGGCGAUGCAAGCCAGAUGUGAAAGCCCGGGGCUCAACCCCGGGACUGCAUUUGGAACUGUAUGGCUGGAGUGUCGGAGAGGCAGGCGGAAUUCCUAGGGUAGCGGUGAAAUGCGUAGAUAUUAGGAGGAACACCAGUGGCGAAGGCGGCCUGCUGGACGAUGACUGACGUUGAGGCUCGAAAGCGUGGGGAGCAAACAGGAUUAGAUACCCUUGUAGUC
rnacentral:rRNA from 1 species